GACGAACGCUGGCGGCGUGCUUAACACAUGCAAGUCGAACGGAAAGGCCCUGCUUGCAGGGUACUCGAGUGGCGAACGGGUGAGUAACACGUGGGUGAUCUGCCCUGCACUUCGGGAUAAGCCUGGGAAACUGGGUCUAAUACCGGAUAGGAGCCAUUUUUAGUGUGAUGGUUGGAAAGUUUUUUCGGUGUAGGAUGAGCUUGCGGCCUAUCAGCUUGUUGGUGGGGUAAUGGCCUACCAAGGCGGCGACGGGUAGCCGGCCUGAGAGGGUGGACGGCCACAUUGGGACUGAGAUACGGCCCAGACUCCUACGGGGGGCAGCAGUGGGGAAUAUUGCACAAUGGGCGCAAGCCUGAUGCAGCGACGCCGCGUGGGGGAUGACGGCCUUCGGGUUGUAAACUCCUUUCGCUAGGGACGAAGCUUUUUGUGACGGUACCUAGAUAAGAAGCACCGGCUAACUACGUG
rnacentral:rRNA from 1 species